rnacentral:rRNA from 1 species
GAUAUUAAUUAUCUUUAUUUUAUUUAUUUAAAUAUAAUAAUUUUUAGUAGUUAAAAAAUUAAAUAAGGUUAUUUACUGUGAAGGACAAAUUAAUUAAUUAUAUCUUAAAAAUUAAAAAUUAAUUUUUUGUACCUUUUGUAUCAGGGUUUAUUAAUUUUAUAUUAAUUAUUUAAUUUUCUCGAAUUAAAGAGGGUAAAAAUUUUAUUUAUUUUAAUGUGUUAAAUUUAUUUCAAAUAAUUUUUUAGUAAUGAAACGUUAUUCGUUCUUUAAGAUAUCUAGUUUUUAAAGAAUUAAAUUUAAUUUAGUUAAUUAUAUUUAUAAGUUUUAUUUUUUAAUUUUAUUUAGUAAUUAAUUUAUAAAUUUAGGGAUAAGCUUAAAUUUAUUUUAAUAAAUAAUAAUUAAAUGAUUAAUAAUAGAAUUAGAAAUUUUUAAUUAUUAGAUUAUGUUAUAAUUUAUUUUCUUUAAGAGUAAUUUAUAUUUUUUUUUAAUUUUUUAUUUAAAUGAUUUAUUUAAUUUAUUAUAAAUUUAAUAAUGAUAAAAUUAGUAUAUGAAUAUUUAUUUUUAAUUAUUAAAUUUUAAUUAUUUUAGAGGAAUUAGGCAAAAUUGGUUUCCGCCUGUUUAUUAAAAACAUGUCUUUUUGAUUAUUAUUUAAAGUCUGAUCUGCUCUCUGAAAUAAUUUUAAGGGCCGCGAUAUUUUGAUCGUGCAAAGGUAGCAUAAUCAUUUGCUUUUUAAUUUGGAGCUUGUAUGAAUGAUUGGACGAGAAACCUACUAUCUUUAAUUUAUUUAUUGAAAUUUAUUUUUAAGUUAAAAAGCUUAACUAUUUUUAAUAGACGAUAAGACCCUAUAGAGUUUAAUAUUUAAUAAUUUAUAUUAUUUAAGUAUCUAAUUUAUAUAAAUUAUUUAAUUAUUUAGUUGGGGUGAUUGAAAAAUUUAUUUAACUUUUUUUACUAUUAUAUUUAUUUAUAGAUUUUUGAUUUAAUAUUUUUAAUUAAAAGAUUAAAUUACCUUAGGGAUAACAGCGUAAUUCUUUUAAAGAGUUCUAAUCGAAAUUAGAGUUUGCGACCUCGAUGUUGGAUUAAAAUUAAAAUGUGGUGUAGAAGCUACAAUAUUUGGUCUGUUCGACCAUUAAAAUUUUACAUGAUCUGAGUUUAAACCGGCGUGAGCCAGGUUGGUUUCUAUCUUUAAUAUUUUAAUAUAUUUUAGUACGAAAGGACCAAAUAUUUAAUUAAUAAUUUUUUACUUUGAAUAUUAUU